AUUGAAGCACCGACUCCCAUAAGAUCACGGAAGUUAAGCAACGUCGGGCCUGAUCAGUACCUAAAUGAAUAACCGCUUGGAAGUACCAGGUGAU